rnacentral:rRNA from 1 species
UUUAAAAUUUAAAGUCUAGUCUGCUCAAUGAUAAUUUAAAUGGCCGCAGUAUUUUGACUGUGCAAAGGUAGCAUAAUCAUUAGUUUCUUAAUUAGGAACUUGUAUGAAUGGCUGGAUGAGGAAUGAUCUGUCUCUACAUAAUUUUAUUAGAAUUUUAUUUUUAAGUUAAAAAGCUUAAAUUUCUGUUAAAGACGAGAAGACCCUAUAGAGUUUUAUUGAUUUAAGUAAUUAACUUUUUAAGAAUUUAUUUUUUAUAUAUUUGAAUUAAUUUUGUUGGGGUGACAAGAAAAAUAGUUUAACUUUUAUUUUUUAAUAACAUUAAUUUAUGAUUUAUUGAUCCAAUAUUUUUGAUUAUAAGAUUAAAUUACCUUAGGGAUAACAGCGUAAUUUUUUUUGAGAGUUCUUAUCGAAAAAAAAGUUUGCGACCUCGAUGUUGGAUUAAAAUUUAUGGCUGGCGUAGUAGUUAGUUUAUUAAGUCUGUUCGACUUUUAAAAUUUUACGUGAUCUG